rnacentral:rRNA from 1 species
CAAGGAAUUUUCGUCAAUGGGGGAAACCCUGAACGAGCAACGCCGCGUGGGCGAAGAAGUCCUUCGGGAUGUAAAGCCCUUUUCCCUGUGAAGAAAGAAAGACGGUAGCAGGGGAAUAAGCAUCGGCUAACUACGUGCCAGCAGCCGCGGUAAUACGUAGGAUGCAAGCGUUGUCCGGAAUUAUUGGGCGUAAAGAGCGCGCAGGCGGUUUUACAAGUCAGAUGUGAAAGAGGCCGGCUUAACCGGCAAGGGUCAUUUGAAACUGUAAGACUAGAGUACAGCAGAGGAUAGCGGAAUUCCCGGUGUAGUGGUGAAAUGCGUAGAUAUCGGGAGGAACACCAGUGGCGAAGGCGGCUAUCUGGGCUGAAACUGACGCUGAGGCGCGAAGGCUAGGGUAGCAAACA